UUUUGUCCCAACAAGGAGAGAAAAGUAAUCAAGACACUGCCAAACCAGAAGACCUCACCAUGAAGAUAGCAGGGAAGGAAACUGUCUUACUGAGAAAGCACUCAGCAGAAAUCCCGUGUUCAGGCAGUCCCUGAGAGAUGACGGAGACAGACCAGACGUUCUCAGGGCACAUGAUGACAGGCCAGUCACCAAGCAAGAGGCCCUGACUGUCACACGGCCUUCAUAGACUAAUCCAGCUUUGAAGAAUUUCAAAGGGAUAUAAGGCCCCUCAUCACUAGGGACUCAUACCGUCCCAGUCACGGCAGAAGGAUACUGGGCUCUCAGAAGUGGAGCCUGAACAAUCAGUACCACAGGAAUUCACAGGACGUAGACUGGAGCUUCCUGGAGCCUAGAGCCAACUUUCUGUGGUCACAUACUUAGAGGAUGCAAUCCCUGGAGUCACACUUCUCUGUGUUAGACGUCCACAGCAGUGGCCUGUCAAGGAUCAGUAGAAGGAAGGAUUAUGACAAAGCUAGGCAUGGUGGCACACAUCUCAGCAG